rnacentral:tRNA from 3 species
GACUCGUUAGCUCAGUCGGCAGAGCAACUGCCUUUUAAGCAGUGGGUCCGGGGUUCGAAUCCCCGACGGGUCA